rnacentral:rRNA from 1 species
ACUGCUCAGUAACACGUGGACAACCUGCCCUUAGGACGGGGAUAAACCCGGGAAACUGGGUAUAGUACCCGAUAGGUCUCGAUUGCUGGAAUGCAUCGAGAUUUAAAGCUCCGGCGCCUAAGGAUGGGUCUGCGGCCUAUCAGGUAGUAGUGGGUGUAGCGUACCUACUAGCCUACGACGGGUACGGGUUGUGAGAGCAGGAGCCCGGAGAUGGAUUCUGAGACACGAAUCCAGGCCCUACGGGGUGCAGCAGGCGCGAAAACUUUACAAUGCUGGCAACAGCGAUAAGGGAACCUCGAGUGCCAGGUUACAAAUCUGGCUGUCGAGAUGCCUAAAAAGCAUUUCAUAGCAAGGGCCGGGCAAGACCGGUGCCGGCCGCCGCGGUAACACCGGCGGCUCGAGUGGUAACCGUUAUUAUUGGGUCUAAAGGGUCUGUAGCCGGCCGGAUAAGUCUCUUGAGAAAUCUGGCAGCUUAACUGUCAGGCUUUCAGGAGAUACUGUCUGGCUCGAGGCCGGGAGAGGUGAGAGGUACUUCAGGGGUAGGGGUGAAAUCUUGUAAUCCUUGAAGGACCACCAGCGGCGAAGGCGUCUCACCAGAACGGACCUGACGGCAAGGGACGAAAGCUAGGGGCACGAACCGGAUUAGAUACCCGGGUAGUCCUAGCCGUAAACGAUACUCGCUAGGUGUCGGCCACGGUGCGACCGUUGUCGGUGCCGUAGGGAAGCCGUGAAGCGAGCCACCUGGGAAGUACGGCCGCAAGGCUGAAACUUAAAGGAAUUGGCGGGGGAGCACCACAACGGGUGGAGCUUGCGGUUUAAUUGGAUUCAACGCCGGG